GUGGCCGUAGCUCAGUUGGCAGAGCAUCGGAUUGUGGCUCCGAAGGUCGCGGGUUCGAAUCCCGUCGGUCACC
rnacentral:tRNA from 1 species